GGGAGUAUUUUUUUUCUUUUCCAUUCACGAAAAAUCGCAACUACUAUUAUUCUUAAUCGAAUAAGUCCUAAGCUAUUUAUGACAUUCGUGUAAUUUGUAGGUUAUAUGGAGUAACUUUUUUUUUUUUGAAACGAAACGAGUUAUGUGGAGUAACUUAUUACAAUAUUAUUUGGAUAAUGUUCCCAUUUUACUUUAGGUUGACCUUCUAUAUCAUAUUUUUGAUCGAGUCCAAGCUAAUAUUUAUAUCAUCUUUUUUAUCUUUAAAAAUAUUUGAGAAGUCCUAACUGCAAAAGUUAAAAAGAUUUUAUAUGUAUUUAUUAGUAGUUUAU
rnacentral:lncRNA from 1 species